rnacentral:rRNA from 1 species
GACGAACGCUGGCGGCGUGCUUAACACAUGCAAGUCGAACGGAAAGGCCCUGCUUUUGUGGGGUGCUCGAGUGGCGAACGGGUGAGUAACACGUGAGUAACCUGCCCUUGACUUUGGGAUAACUUCAGGAAACUGGGGCUAAUACCGGAUAGGAGCUCCUGCUGCAUGGUGGGGGUUGGAAAGUUUCGGCGGUUGGGGAUGGACUCGCGGCUUAUCAGCUUGUUGGUGGGGUAGUGGCUUACCAAGGCUUUGACGGGUAGCCGGCCUGAGAGGGUGACCGGCCACAUUGGGACUGAGAUAGGGCCCAGACUCCUACGGGAGGCAGCAGUGGGGAAUAUUGCACAAUGGGCGGAAGCCUGAUGCAGCAACGCCGCGUGCGGAAUAACGGCCUUCGGGUUGUAAACCGCUUUCGCCGGUGACGAAGCGUGAGUGACGGUAAUGGGUAAAGAAGCACCGGCUAACUACGUG